rnacentral:rRNA from 1 species
GACGAACGCUGGCGGCGUGCCUAAUACAUGCAAGUCGAACGCUGAAGAGAGGAGCUUGCUCUUCUUGGAUGAGUUGCGAACGGGUGAGUAACGCGUAGGUAACCUGCCUUGUAGCGGGGGAUAACUAUUGGAAACGAUAGCUAAUACCGCAUAACAAUGGAUGACCCAUGUCAUUUAUUUGAAAGGGGCAAAUGCUCCACUACAAGAUGGACCUGCGUUGUAUUAGCUAGUAGGUGAGGUAACGGCUCACCUAGGCGACGAUACAUAGCCGACCUGAGAGGGUGAUCGGCCACACUGGGACUGAGACACGGCCCAGACUCCUACGGGAGGCAGCAGUAGGGAAUCUUCGGCAAUGGGGGCAACCCUGACCGAGCAACGCCGCGUGAGUGAAGAAGGUUUUCGGAUCGUAAAGCUCUGAUGUAAGUCAAGAACGAGUGUGAGAGUGGAAAGUUCACACUGUGACGGUAGCUUACCAGAAAGGGACGGCUAACUACGUG